GAUGAACGCUGGCGGCGUGCCUAACACAUGCAAGUCGAACGGAGUCGUUUUGGAAAUCUCUUCGGAGAUGGAAUUCUCGACUUAGUGGCGGACGGGUGAGUAACGCGUGAGCAAUCUGCCUUUAAGAGGGGGAUAACAGUCGGAAACGGCUGCUAAUACCGCAUAAAGCAUUAAAUUCGCAUGUUUUUGAUGCCAAAGGAGCAAUCCGCUUUUAGAUGAGCUCGCGUCUGAUUAGCUAGUUGGCGGGGUAACGGCCCACCAAGGCGACGAUCAGUAGCCGGACUGAGAGGUUGAACGGCCACAUUGGGACUGAGACACGGCCCAGACUCCUACGGGAGGCAGCAAUGGGGAAUAUUGCGCAAUGGGGGAAACCCUGACGCAGCAACGCCGCGUGAUUGAAGAAGGCCUUCGGGUUGUAAAGAUCUUUAAUCAGGGACGAAACAAAUGACGGUACCUGAAGAAUAAGCUCCGGCUAACUACGUG
rnacentral:rRNA from 1 species